GACAGAGGGUGCAAACGUUGUUCGGAAUUACUGGGCGUAAAGCGCGUGUAGGCGGCCCGACAAGUCGGAUGUGAAAGCCCUGGGCUUAACCUAGGAAGUGCAUUCGAAACUGUCGUGGCUUGAGUUCUGGAGAGGAAGGCGGAAUUCUCGGUGUAGAGGUGAAAUUCGUAGAUAUCGAGAGGAACACCGGUGGCGAAGGCGGCCUUCUGGACAGUGACUGACGCUGAGACGCGAAAGCGUGGGGAGCAAACAGG
rnacentral:rRNA from 1 species